CAGAACCACAAGGAAGGAAAAAGAGAUUCUGUGGUGCGGUUGUGGGGAGAAGCUUGCUUACACUAACUGAUAUGAAGAGCUCCGUCUUAAUUGUGAAAAAAAAAAUUCUGAGCAGGCGAUUCUGCACUGUGUAAGUUGAAGAUGGGCACUGGGGGAGCCAUGUAGUAGGAACAUCUCUUCCUGCUUUUAAUGUUGCUGUCCUAAUGCCCAAUGCCAUCAUGAAUCUCAGCAUAUAGGUCAUUCAUUCAGUAACUCACUUACAGUGGAAGACAGAACUCUCCAGCCAGUCCUUUCAGUCCCCGUGGAUAUUCUCAAAAGCAUAUCUGUGCUGACCAAUCCAAAACCAAAGGAAUGUUAAGGAUAAUCGUUUAAGGAAACACAGUGACCAACGAGCAAUGUGGGAAGGAAAUGGAAAUGCUUUUACUUCCACAGCAGUAUUCAUCAUCAAAGGAAGACAUCAGGACAGGAACUCAAAUGAGGCAGGAACUUAGAGGAAAGAGUUGAUGCAAGACCAGAGUGAUACUGCGUGCUGCCUUGCU
rnacentral:lncRNA from 1 species